rnacentral:rRNA from 1 species
AUUGAACGCUGGCGGCAGGCUUAACACAUGCAAGUCGAGCGGGGGAAGGUAGCUUGCUACCGGACCUAGCGGCGGACGGGUGAGUAAUGCUUAGGAAUCUGCCUAUUAGUGGGGGACGACAUCUCGAAAGGGAUGCUAAUACCGCAUACGUCCUACGGGAGAAAGCAGGGGAUCUUCGGACCUUGCGCUAAUAGAUGAGCCUAAGUCGGAUUAGCUAGUUGGUGGGGUAAAGGCCUACCAAGGCGACGAUCUGUAGCGGGUCUGAGAGGAUGAUCCGCCACACUGGGACUGAGACACGGCCCAGACUCCUACGGGAGGCAGCAGUGGGGAAUAUUGGACAAUGGGGGGAACCCUGAUCCAGCCAUGCCGCGUGUGUGAAGAAGGCCUAUGGUUGUAAAGCACUUUAAGCGAGGAGGAGGCUACUUUAGUUAAUACCUAGAGAUAGUGGACGUUACUCGCAGAAUAAGCACCGGCUAACUCUGUGCCAGCCGCCGCCGUAA